AUGCUUACCUGACAGGGGAGAUACUAUGAUCAUGAAGAUGAUUUUUGCAGGGUGUGGCUAAUCCAUUGUGCUCAGCAUGAGCUGACCCCUCCAAUUUCCCCAAACGUGGGAAAUGUGACUGAAUAAUUUGUGAUACUGGAGGACUAUUUGCACUCUCCCCUG